rnacentral:rRNA from 1 species
GGAGUUUGGUCCGUGUCUCAGUACCAAUGUGGGGGACCUUCCUCUCAGAACCCCUACUGAUCGUCGCCUUGGUGGGCCGUUACCCCGCCAACAAGCUAAUCAGACGCAUCCCCAUCCCUUAGCGGUGAACCUUUGCUUUCCAUCAGAUGCCAUCCAGAAAGAACAUAGAGUAUUAAUCCGACUUUCGCCGGGCUAUCCUCUACUAAGGGGAAGGUUGGAUACGCGUUACUCACCCGUCCGCCACUAAGAUUUAACAAGAAUCCGCCGAAGCCUCAUCAGCGUUAAAUCUCCGUUCGACUUGCAUGUGUUAGGCACGCCGCCAGCGUUCAUC